CCUACGGGUGGCAGCAGUGAGGAAUAUUGGUCAAUGGACGAGAGUCUGAACCAGCCAAGUAGCGUGAAGGAUGACUGCCCUAUGGGUUGUAAACUUCUUUUAUAUGGGAAUAAAAUGUUCCACGUGUGGGAUUUUGUAUGUACCAUAUGAAUAAGGAUCGGCUAACCCAGUGCCAGCAGCCGCGGUAAUACGGAGGAUCCGAGCGUUAUCCGGAUUUAUUGGGUUUAAAGGGAGCGUAGGUGGAUUGUUAAGUCAGUUGUGAAAGUUUGCGGCUCAACCGUAAAAUUGCAGUUGAAACUGGCAGUCUUGAGUACAGUAGAGGUGGGCGGAAUUCGUGGUGUAGCGGUGAAAUGCUUAGAUAUCACGAAGAACUCCGAUUGCGAAGGCAGUUCACUGGACUGCAACUGACACUGAGGCUCGAAAGUGUGGGUAUCAAACAGGAUUAGAUACCCUUGUAGUC
rnacentral:rRNA from 1 species